GCGCUGCAGCACCCCGUCUACCAGCAGCAUGCAGUGGACAUAGGGUGACAUUGAAAAAAGAAAUAUGUUCACUCUAUUCUCCUCCCAUAAAAGCUGAAAGUGAACAGUUGGGUUAGUUCAUCCUGCUCCAACAAAGCAACUCCAAAAAACCAGUGUAUAUGGAUCAGCCUGAAAUGUCUCCUUUUGUACAAUUCUUCAGAUCUUAAAUUACAUCUGUCUUCAUCUGGAAGAAAAGAUGCAGACAAAUAGAGAUCACAGAGUAUGUUUGGACUAUUAUGGAGCAGUUAGAAAUCCCUGAAAAUACGGAGACAAAAAGGCAUCUCACGCCAGUGGUGUUAAGUUCCUGGCUGAGUCACACUGCGCAGUCCCCUCUGAAGCAAGUUAUAGAGAUCCUGUUCUCUCUGUGAAGUCUACCCCUGCUACCACUGCAAUCAAUGGGCAUUUUGCCAUUGACUUCAGCAAAAACCAGAUCACGCUCUGCCUCUGGAUCGGCUACUAUGCAGCGAUUAAUCAGUCAACCACAACGAUGCAAAUGAGACUUUUAAACUGCGUAUGGGAGAAUCUGCUUGUCUCCUUGACAAGCCACACAGAGGAGAACAGCAAUCUAUUGGCAAUUGGUUGUGACUAAUUAAGUGAGCUAAAUGCAUGAGCAGCUUAAUAAACAGUGAUAGCCAAUUGCUAAACAACUACUAACUGCUAAUUGCAAAAGUUUCUGAAGCCUUUUGACAUGGACUUUGGUUAGUUACACACAAAGCUGCGUAGAGGAAUAAAUGAGUUGCCGCUCACUGAUGACUGCUUUCCACUGCAGAGCCCAGGAAGAAAUUGGAAAAGAAAAGUGAAAAGCAGCUAAGAAAAGGAGAUUGCCAAAGCAAAAACGCUUUCUUAAAAAGGAGCCUGGGAUGGGACAAAUUCAGCCGCGAUGCAAAGGAAGAACUGCAUCAGUGAAGACAGAGAGGACGUGUAUCUAAUGGUUAGAGCAAGGCACUUGACUUGAUAAGGAACAGAAAGCCCCACUAGUCUCCUGUGUGUUUGGCAGGAAUACUCAAGGACUAUGCCCUUUAUUUAAGGGGCC